rnacentral:rRNA from 1 species
GCUUAGCCCUAAACACAGAUGGUUAAAUACACAAAACCAUUCGCCAGAGAACUACAAGCGAAAAGCUUGAAACUCAAAGGACUUGGCGGUGCUCCACAUCAUCCUAGAGGAGCCUGUCCUAUAAUCGAUACCCCACGUUUUACCUUACCAUCCUUUGCAACUCAGCCUAUAUACCGCCGUCGUCAGCUUACCUUGUGAAAGAAACAAAGUAGGCAAAAAAGUUUACAACUAACACGUCAGGUCAAGGUGUAGCAGAUAGAAUGGAAGAGAUGGGCUACAUUUUCUGCCACAGAAAAAUACGAAAGGUGUGAUGAAACACACACCCAAAGGAGGAUUUAGAAGUAAGAUAAAUAAGAGUCUUUAUCUUAAAUCUGCUCUGGAGCGCGC